rnacentral:rRNA from 1 species
ACGGGAGGCAGCAGCUAAGAAUAUUCCGCAAUGGACGAAAGUCUGACGGAGCGACGCCGCGUGGAUGAUGAAGGUCGGAAGAUUGUAAAAUCCUUUUAUGACUGAGGAAUAAGUGUGGUGAGAGAAACGCCAUAUGGUGACUGUAGGUCAUGAAUAAGCAACGGCUAAUUACGUGCCAGCAGCCGCGGUAACACGUAAGUUGCGAGCGUUGUUCGGAAUUAUUGGGCGUGAAGGGCAUGUAGGCGGUUUUGCAAGCUUGGUGUGAAAGGCAGGAGCUUAACUCCUGGACUGCGUUGAGGACUGCAAGACUUGAGUUACUGAGGUGCAAUCAGAAUUCCUGGUGUAGGGGUGAAAUCUGUAGAUAUCAGGAAGAAUACCAAUGGCGAAGGCAGGUUGCAAGCAGAUAACUGACGCUGAGGUGCGAAGGUGCGGGGAGCAAACAGGAUUAGAUACCCUGGUA